UUGGUCAAAAUUAUGCCUGUGAGGGUGGGGUGUGUGAAGAAAAAACAACGGGAGUAUAUCAAGACCAAGUGAAGAUGUUGAAUUCGAGGGUGAAAAUCAUGAGUUUAAGUCACGUUUCAUCCAUAGAAGUAGAACAAAGAAGAUCACUUGGAAGUAAAUGACUGAACCAACGUUAGUUGGUGUCUAUGAGGAUGAUAAUGUGGCCCUAGAGUACAACAGUAACAAUGUCAAGAAAGCAAAGCUCAAUUUAACGCUAGCUGUAGUCCUUGAUGAUCCUGUGCUUGCAGGUGUGCCAAAGAAGCCAACUCUACCAGAUGUUGACGCCCUGAUCAGCUUGGAACUCAGUAGUGCUAUGCGUGUUUCUGUAAUUAAAUUAGACAACACAUCUUUUGUGAUGAAUUCAGCAACAGUCAAGGAUUUGAAACUAGCUGUCAAGAAAAAGGUCAAUGAAAUGGAGCAGUGAAAGAUGGGUCAUCGCCACAUUUCUUGGAAGCAUGCGUCGCGAAAUUUCUCUCUCAUACCACAAUGAAAAGCUUCUAAAUGAUGCUGCAGUUCUUCAAGAUCUUGGUGUACCUCCAAAAGCUACGCAACCAUCUCAAAGACAACACACAUCUCGUCAUCGUGAGUGCCGACACUCUUCGUGUGAACGAAAUACAGGUCAUAAGGCAAGGAUUGCGACCCCACUCAUCUGUUGUGAUGGGUAAGAAUUUUUUCAUGGGGCGCUCACUCGAGAUCCAUGCCCCAUCAGCCAGAAAACCUGCUUUUGUUGGCACAAUUCUUCAUAUUAACGGUAAAGUUGGGUUGGUCUUGACCGCUUGUGACCCAGAGGAAGUGAGUGAAACGGUUGGGGGAUAUAAAUUGCAGCCGCUGGUGUGUUCCUCAUAUUGACGGUGAUUGACGUCUGUUUGGAUAUCAGACCUCUGCUUUAGUGAUUUCCGGUGUAAUGAGUGUGGGUUGACAUCGUUGUACCCAUUAAUACCUAAUAAAAAACUGUUGAUAUUAUUGUUUUAACAUUACAGUUAAAUGCAACUUUAGGACAUUACAGUCCUGUACUCAGUACUCCUGUUA